UGGUAGUAUAAUACUAUGUUUGUUGUAAAAUGAGGGAGAAAGGUGUAUGGUUUUUAGGAUUUGAUUAUUUAUGUGUUUAGUUACUUUAUUAUUAUGGGAUUCAAAAGGUUUCAUGCACGUUAUUUUGCAUGUUUCGAAGCUUUUCAUAUAUCAAAAAGUUUAGUACAUAUGAAAUUAAUACGUAAUAAUUUAAUUUGUAUUGCAAGUAUAAUAUAAUUAAUCUCAAUGUGAUUGAACACUUACAUACACUCUCUCCCUUUCGAAAUAAAUAUCAUUUUUUUUGUUAAAAAAUGUCCUUUUUAUAAAUUUUAAUACUCUAUUAAUAUUUUCUUUUCUAAUCUACCUUUUAUUUAUUUAGUAAUUUAGGCAUUAUAUAAUUAUCCUUCAACUAUAUUUUUAAUUUAAUUGGAACGCAAAAUAAAUAUUAUAUAAAUUAAUUUUUAUAAAUUUUAGACUAUAUUAAUUUUUAUAAAUUAAUUCAAUUAAUUUUUUUCUUAGAAAGAGAAAAAGAAAAUAAUAAAAACAAAAAGACAGCGCACGUGAAGCAUUAGUGAGAUAAGGACUGGACCUCAGUUUGCAUUAAAGGAAAUGGGCCGACGGUGCCAAAAAAAUUAACUUCUGGACCGCUUGCAUACAAUUUAACAUAUCCCCAUGUAUUAUGUAUGUGAUUACUUCGGCCUACCAUGCAUGGACCCGGUCCGUGGGUGAGGAAAUAAACUCGGUUUAAACUGUCAACAUGCAUUACAGUCUAUAAGUAAAUUUAGAAAAAGAAAAAGAAAAAAGAUAAAUUUAUUUCCCCUAUGAUACGUUAUUUUAAAUUUAUUAUAAAUAAAUUUCAUGUUUAAUAUUAGAAGAAAUAUAAGAACAUCAAAAGUAGGCACACGUUUUAUACACUUAAUUAAUAGGUGAUGACAAUUUUUUUUUUAAAAAAAUACAUCUUUUUAUCAUUCUUUUUUUUCAAUAAAAAACAUAAAUAUAAUUUAUAAUUAUAUAAUAUUAGGAAAAGGCACCUAAACUCGAUAUAUGUAUCCAUUUAUAUACUAAAUAAAAGUCCAAUGGCAUUUUAGUUUAAAUGAGGGUAUUUUCGAUCAUGCAUUAAAAAAAAAAAGGAUAAAAAAGUGAUAUUUUAUAAAUAAAAAAAAUGUAAUUGGCUUAAUAUAUGAGAUCACCCAAGAAAUUUAAAAACGUAGCAUUUAUACUAAUAUUUAGAAUUUAAAAGAUUUUCUUUUCAAAAAAAAUAAAAUAAAAGAUUUAAUUAUGAAAUCACACGCUAUCUAACGUGUGAUGAAAUGCUAAUAAAGUAGUGAGUGUAAUUCCUUUCUUGAAAAAAUGAACUUGCUAAAAGUCUUUCGAAGUCGAUGGUUUUAUAUUACAAUUUGGUACUAUAUUAUUAUUUGAAUUGGUGAUUGUAACCUUACAAUGAUCACAGAUGAAAUUAAAAUAAAAAAAAAUGAUGAAAAAUAUGAUUAUAUAUAGCGAUUUCUUGGAGGAGGAGAGUCAAUAUUCCAUGCUAUAUGUGUAAAUAUUGUCUUGAUUCCGAGAAGAGAGAGUUAAAGAUUGUCUGAUCUCCGACAGCGAUAACAGGUUUGUUUUUGACAUUCAUUAUCUAUUUUGCUUUCCAUGUAUAAUUAGUUAGAUAGAUCUGGAAAAUGAUAUUAUUAAAUUUUCAUGAAAAUUAGAAAGUAGAAGCUCUUCUUUUUUUCUUUUUUUUUAUUUUUAUUUUUUUAUUUUUUAUAUUCCAGUCGUUUCCAAGUUCUUAGAGAUUUGCUUCUUCAAAUUUUAUUUAUUUUGAAAACUAAAAAACGAACAAAAGAAAUUUUGUUAAUCUAUAUUCUAUCAUAUUAAAUGAUUAACUAUCAAAUCUCAUCCAUUCAUUUACACAAAUCAAGCAUAGGUGUACUCAGAGCAUGGAAUUAAUCCUUUCUUAGUUCCUAAUCCACUCAAAGUAUACAAUUUAAGAAACAAUUAUAUGCUGCUUAAAUCUAAAACUAUUAAAACAGAUCUACGCCUAUAGACUGUUAGAGAUCGCCCGUAUCUCAACAAAAAAAUUGAGAACAGUUUACAAAAUAUGUUUUUUUUUUUUUUUUUUUUUUUUUUUUAUUGUUGAUUUUAAAUUUGAACUGUUUUAUCAUUGUUAUUGAUUUUAAAUUUAGAUUACUUUAUUAUUAUUGUCGAUUUUAAAUUCGGAUCGUAACUGUAUUGAUUUUAAUUUUUGAUAAUUUUAUUAUUAAGUUUUUGCUUGAAAAAAAAAUGCAAAUAAAAAAAAGCGCAAAAUUUUUUUUUUUUAAAAGAUAGGCAUGCUGUAAGUUGCAUCGAGAUUGAAUAUUGGAGAUCCGUUUUUUAAUGAGUUUUUUUUUAGCUCGACCCGUUAUGGGACCGACCCCGCACAGUCCAGGCUGCCCGAUUUGGCCGGGCUACUUGAAUCAUAGCAAUUAGCAUUAUUUGAUGGCAAAUAAUAAUAAUAUUAUUCAAACGUAUUUUCUCCAAACAUGUGCUUAUUCUUAAAACUUCCCACUUGUUAGCAAUGUAUAUAACCCUAAUUUUUAUUCUGACAGGAUGUUGUGUGAUCAUAUUAUUAUUGAUGUUGAAAAUUUAUCAAUUUCCAUUGGCAAGGAUCUGGAAGCUUUACAUCCAUUAUCAGUCGAAUGUUGCAUUUAUAAAGUGCCUAGGACACUGUAUCGAUUAAACGAAGUGGCCUACACACCUCAAGUGGUCUCCAUCGGUCCACUUCACCAUGGCAAACCAGAGCUAAAGUUAAUGGAGGAACAUAAAAGAAGAUAUACGAAAGAGUUCCUUCAACUCAGCACUAGUAGUGUUAGUGUGAAAGAAUAUGUUGAAUUCAUAAGGAAGAGGGAAAAAAGGUUGCGCAAUUCCUAUGCCGAAACCAUUCUACUUAAUCCUCAAGACUUUGUGAAGAUGAUUUUAACAGAUGCUGCUUUUCUAAUUAUGGUGCUCUUGAAAUUUAGUUGCCCAGAGCUCCAAAGUAGCAACGAUCGUAUAUACUCGAGACCAUGGAUGUCAGGCGAUGUUCGGUAUGAUAUACUGUUGCUCGAAAAUCAACUUCCAUUCUUUAUCCUUGAGGAGUUGUAUGAUGUAUCUGGUAUACCUAAUAAGCUUCAAAAACCUGGACUUUCCAUGAUCCAGCUUGUUCACUCCUUCUUCAAAAUUAAAUGGGAUCAUUGGGUGUUAGAUGAUGUAUUGGAGAAACAGAACUUUUUAGAAACAAAGCAUCUACUUGAUUUUCUGAGGAUCUGUCAGCAACCAUUAGCUGGAAAUAAAAUAAAAUCAGGUGUCAAAUGGUAUGCACCUAGUGUUACAGAGCUUUACCGAGCAGGAGUCAAAUUUGAGUUGGCGUCAAGCAAAAACCUUCUUGAGAUUGAGUUCAGAGAUGGCAUUUUGAAACUUCCAGCGUUGAAAAUAACAAAUAGGUCUGAAAUUUUAUUAAGGAACCUACAGGCAUUUGAGCAAUGCCAUUGCCAAGACAAAUAUUUAAAUGACUAUAUUUCAUUGAUCAGUAGUCUGGUUGAGACAGCUGAAGAUGUCAAAAUAAUGGCUGAAAAUGGAAUUAUACAAAAUCGGCUACGGAAUAAUGAUAGUCUGUCAACUCUUUUUAACUAUCUUGCCAGAGGAAAUCUUGUGUCCAGACACAGCUUCUACUUCUCCAAUAUAGUUGAAGCUCUUAAUCUGUAUUGCAAAAACCCUUGGCACAAGUGGAAGGCAACCCUCAAACAGGAUUAUUUCAAUAAUCCAUGGGCAGGGAUUUCUGUUCUUGCAGCUUUUAUUCUUCUCAUGCUUACUGUCGUACAAACUGUGUGUUCCCUACUGCAAAUUUAGAUUCUACUCUACUGUAAAAUGUGUAUCUUUUUCUGAAACUGUCCCAAGUGAAAUGUAUCGCAAUAGAGAAGCAUUACUACAGGAUCCUUAUUGAAGAAUUGAAUGCGUACUGCAAAAUCCCUGGCCAUAAUCCCUGUCUUCCCAGCAUGUGUUCUUCUCAUCCUCACUAUGAUCCAGACUGUAAGAUCUAUCAUUCAAUUGUAAACUCUAGAUAUAUCAUUUCAUGGUUUCUUGAUUUAGUCUAUAAUUGAUUUCUUAAUUUUUUAUUAUUAAAACAAUUAAUCUGUUAAAGUCCUACAUUUUUGCUGCUGCAGACGUGAAAUUAGAGUGAAAUUUUCAGCUAUAAAACAACUAAGUUUGAUGAUUAAAUCUAAACCAAAUUUAAAAUUUAUGCAGAUUUUAACAAUUUUCACAUUUAUAAAAGCCAGAAUUGGGUUGAGCAACAAAAGGCCCAAACAAAAAAUCUGUCGGACUAGGCCCACUGUAUGGAGAUCCUAAUAAUUUUCAGUUUCACGCCCAAUAAGAAAAUAGCAUCUACAAGGUAAAAAAGCACGUGGCAAAAAUUUUGUUUCCGUGGAGAAAUAAAUAUCUAAAAACAACCUAUAUGAGACAGAAUAAGUGCUUUAUUGAACAUCGGAAAUUGCUUGCCUACUUCAGCUCCAUAGAAGACUCGAGGGCCAAAGUCUUUCUAGUCAACGACAACUUAGCGUUAUAUCCAUACGAAGAUUGUAACCUUACAACGCCAAAAAAAAAAAAAAAAAUAAAAAAAUAUAUAUAUAUAUAUAUAUAUAUAGUUCAAGAUUAUAUAUAUAUAUAUAUAUAUAUAUACAUAAAGAUUAUUCAGAUUCUUGUUUUCCUCUAGUAUUAUUAGUUCAAGAAUUUCCACUUGUAUCCUUCAAAAAGAAAAAAAAAAAAAGAAUUUCCAGUUGUGAAACACUCUGAUUAUUCAGAUUCUUUCCCUGUUAAACUUUCAAUUUUUUAAAGAUUUAUUUAAAUCAUAAGAUAAAGCUUGUUCUGUUUUUCACUUCAGUUCCUGUUCUGUUUUUUCACAAGGAGCAUCAGAAUUUCUGGAUCACAGAAUUUGUUUUUUCAUCCUCUCUCAUACUUGGCUUCUUCUUUAAUCCGAAUUACAUUCUCUGAGGAAUUCUAAAUGAGUAGAUGGAAGAAGAAAAUAAUCAAGUUCUGAUUGAUAUUUACGAGUUAACAAAAAUUGUGAGCAGAGAGUUGGAAACCGUGCAGCCAUUAUCUGACACUUGUUUCAUCUACAGAGCUCCCAAGCGACUGCGAGACUUGAAUGAAAAGGCCUACACACCUCAGUUAGUCUCCAUUGGUCCCUACCAUCACAGCCGAAAAGAGUUAAAACCCAUGGAUGAGCAUAAAAGAAAGUACUUGCAAUAUUUUCCUGAAAGAAGCAAGGUAAAUAUGGGAGAUUCGAUUCGAGUUGUUGCAAAGAAUGAAACAAGACUGCGCAAUUGUUACGCAGAAAUCAUUAAUCUGACUAGUCAUGAAUUUGUGAAAAUCUAAAGGAGGAGUGUUGUGAUAUUGAAACUACUGAAACCAUAAAUAUAAGUAAAGUAAAUUCUUAAUUUUAACAACUUUUUCACGUGUUUGAGUGUGAGGUAGAGAAUCCUCUGCUUUUCUUUUGUUGUUGAGUUUGCUUGUUGUGUUUGUAAAGGAGAAAUUCCAACAGCUGCCAUGAUUCUCUUACUUAAUUAGCCAACGCCUCUUUUGGAGAUUAAUUCUACUUGUAAUGAUUAUAUUUAUUAAAUUUCCAGUUCAUAUAUGUAUAUAUAUGGUUGGAUAGCAAGCAAAUCCUCCCAUCAACUUCUCUUUGAUAUUUUUCACACUGCUGCGUGUACUUUAGAAGAAAAAAAAAGGGAAGAAAAACCAGUCUUAUAAUUCCUGCAAAGUCUAUAUAUAUCUAGAAGGUUUUUUAUUACUCCCCAUUAGUUCUUUGGAUUUCAUUAUCAAUUAGUAUUUAUUUGGUUGUAUUUUGAACAAGAAAAAUUGUAAAGGUAGCUAUAAUUAAUUUUUGAAAUAUCUGAUGAUCGCCUGCAGAUGAACAACGAAGAAGAAGUUGAUGUUGAAGAGUUAGCAAAGUGUGUGAAGAAGGAGCUGGCAAUGCUGCAACCUUUAUCAGACAAGUGUAGUAUCUAAAAAGUUCCAGAAAAAGAAAGAAAAUUGAAUGAAAAGGCAUACACACCUCGAGUUGUCUCCAUAGGCCCUCUUCACCAUAGGAAAGAAGAGCUCAGGGCAAUGGAAGACCAUAAAAGGAGGUACUUGCUGGAUUUUCUUGAAUGGAGCCAUUCAAGUAUGGAGGAUAUGAUCACAUGUAUCAAGGAAAAUGAGAGAAGAUUGCGUGAUUGCUAUGCAGAACCAAUUGAACUCGCAAGUGAGAAAUUUGCGAAAAUGAUGUUGGUAGACGCUGCCUUCCUCAUUUCUCUUUUACUUAAAAAAGCUCUCCCAGAAUUUCAAAGCAGUAGUGACCGUAUAUUUAACAAACCAAAACUGAUUCUUGAUAUAAGGGUUGACAUAUUUUUGCUGGAAAAUCAGGUUCCGUUUUUAUUCUUGUGGAUUUGUUUGAGCUGUCUAAAAUAGGUGUACGUGAGGAGGGCGUGCUGAUCUCUAUGAUUGAGCUCACUCAUUUUUUCUUUGAAGGUAGACGGGGUUCUUGGGUGAGAGAGGACAUUCUACAGCUACAAGAUUUCUCUCAAGUAGAACAUUUUCUUGAUUUUUGAAGAAUUUGUCAGCGACCGCCAAAGCCUAAGCCCUCAAACGAAAAAAUAAUAAACCUAGUGGCACCAACAAUAACGGAGCUCCAUCAUGCUGGUGUAAAGAUUGAGUUGCAUUCAAGCAGAAACAAACUGGACAUUGAAUUUGAUAGUAAAAAGGGGAUUCUAAAAAUCCCACGCUUUAAAAUGGAGGAGGCAGUAGAAAUUCUGUUAAGAAAUCUACAGAUAUUUGAGAAGUAUCAUUUUCAGGGCAGAGACAAGUACGUGAAUGACUACGCGUACAUGCUUGCUCAGCUUAUCAAAUCUGAUAAGGAUGUGGAAACACUAGAGCAAAGAGGGAUUCUAGAAAAUUGGAUGCAGAACAACCAAGCCGUGGCAACAUUUUUAGGUAGCAUUGACUGUGAAGUCGAUCGUACGAGGUUCUACUUUUUUCCAAUUCUUGAAGAUCUGAAUUCGUAUUGCAAAAAUCCUUGGUACAAAUGGAAUGCCAACUUGAGACAAAAUUAUUUUAACACUCCAUGGGCUGGGAUCUCAGUUGCUGCAGCUGCUUUUCUUCUCUUUCUCACUAUAAUUCAAACUGUGUGUUCUAUCCUUCAACUGUAGGCGUGCCUAGGCUUUAGCUAUGUCUAAUUCUCUAUUUCUGUUUAGUGAAUCUGGGUUUGCUCUUGUAUUGUGCGUUAAAAAUUACUCCAUUUAUCCAAAAAAAUAUAUGUGAUCUUUGAGUAAUUAUUUGAUUUUUAAAAUAUAUGUCGUUUUUUAAUAUUUGAAUAAGUAAUAAAUGAUAUUUUUUUAAUAUUAUCUUUAUUUACAUUAAAUGCAAUAAUUAUCUAGACAAGUAAUUAUUGAUUUUGAGAUAAAAAAUAAUUUGAUCAAAUUAUUUUUGAUUUUAUAAUUAGUCAAGAGAAUUAAUUAUUUUUUUAAUUUUUAAAAAUUUUAAAUUUUGGAAUAGAAAAUAACUUUGUCAAUGAACAGGUGUUUGGUUCUUGUGUGUAAAUGUAAGAAGAAGAAAAAAGAUGCGGUAACGUAAUGAACCACAUAACAUCAAUAAAAAAUUGCCACCCAGAAUUAUGUCGGGUUUUAUCGCCUUGCUGGCCAUGGUUAAACUUUGAUCACUCCUCGGUUAACAUUCUACAACGUGUCAUAAUCUUCCAGUGAAAUGGAAAAAACUUACCACCUCGUCCAUGGCUCCAUACGUGGACCAAAAUAAUAAGAUCUCAUUUGUAAUAAAUAAUUUUCAUAAAAUUUUAUGAAAUGUAUUAAAAAUUAAAUUUUGUGUUUUGGAAUAAAAAAGUAUAGAUUUAAUUUUUAUAAAUUGAAUUUUAUGAAAUUGAGCAUAUUUAACUCAAAUUUUACUAAAAUUGAUAAAAUUCAUAAAUGAAUUUCACAAAAUCGAUCAUUAAAAUAUUUUGAUAUAAAUUCAAUUAUUUUUACUUUUUCUUCCUUUUUGUUUAUUUUCUUUGAAAAAUUCCUAUAUAAUAAUAUUAUUUUUUAAUCCAGUAAUAACGCUAAUUUUUAUUUUUAUUUUUUUUCUUUGAAAAAUUUCAAACUAGUAAUGACGUUUUUUUUUAAGUAUAGUAAUAAUGUUAGUUAUUAUUACUAUGAAACUAUAAAAACUGAAUAUAAUAAUUAUUUUCAAAUGUAAUUAAAAACAAUAGUAACAUUCUUAAUAUUCUUUUUAGUUUUCAAAUUAAUUACUUAAAUCAACAAAAGUUUUUACAUCAAAUAAAAAUAAUUAUUAUGAUUAAUUUUACUGAUUCUAUAAUUAAUUAAGUAGCUAAUUAAUUAAUUAGCAUGAAAUGUUAGUGUACUUAUUUAUAUGAAAUUUGUUAUUUAUAUUUUAAUAAAAAAUGACAAGUAAUUAUAUUGUACAUAAUAAAUAUAAUUGGUGUUUGUUAUUUAUUUUUGUUAAAUUAUUAUGUCAAGGUGUUAUAUGAAAUAAAGAGAAAUGAAUUUUAAUUUAAGAAUUUAUUUCAAACAUAAUUUACGGAAUUUAAUUGAAUUUCUUAUUUUAAAUUGUAGCAUACUAAAUAUGAUAAAUUCAUUUGGAAAUUCCAAAUGAAUUCUACAAUUAGAUUCAUUUGUUCCAAACAGGUAAUAAAAAUAUACUUCCUCUGUCUUAAAAAUAUAGUCUAUCUUUUUUUUUUUUUUUGUCCUAAAAUAUAACCCACUUUUCUUUUAUGCAUUAUAGUUAAUCCUUAAAUUGUCCACUAUACCCUUAUUAAAUUUUAUUUAUUUUCAAUAACAUUCAUUAAUUCUUACUUAUUAUUUCAUAUAAUAAAUACUCAUGUCUUAUUUAAGACGUGUAUAAUAAGAAAGUUAUAUGCAUAAAAUUUCCUUUAACCAUAAUAACUAUUAUUUUUUAAUCUGUAUCAAAAUAGAAAGUGGACUAUCUUUUUGGGACGGAUGAAGUAAUUUUUUUAAAAAAAUGAAAGUAUUUAUGACCAUAUACUUAAAAAAAUAAAAGAUUAGUUAAAAACAAUUUUUAAAAAAUAUUUAAUUUCAUUUAUUUGAUCUAUAAAUUGAAUCAUAAACCCGAUCUGGACAAGUAUUUUUCAAAGUUAAGAAACUUGCAUAAUGUGAAGCGAUGAACUUAUACAACAUCUGUAUACCAAACCAAGUUAUAAAAACAAUUUUUACUUGCAUAAUUUUGACCAUUUAUAGAAAAAACAGUAAUAAUUUCUUAAAAACCCUACAUUAAUUAAUAAUUGUCAUAACGACUACAUUAUAUUUAUGAAUUUACUUGCCAAUUCUCCGAAGAAAGUGGAAUUACUGGUUCAGAAGGGACUUCUUGUAAGUUUGUUACAUGAUAGGGGUGCCAAAUCUUUUUGCCAAACUGGGUGCGGCAUGUUUUAUCAGCAACUCAGCAUACAUACUACAAAAUCGAGAGAACAAUUUUCUAAAGUUUCGAUUCAUAUUCUAUUUUUCAAAUGUUUGAAAUCCCAUCUUCUUUCUUUUUAUCUUUUUUGACAAUCUCUCCAUUUUUCCAAUAUCUCAGACGGAAAGGGCUUUGAUAUUAGUUGAAUUCUUCUUUUCUGGUGGACUAAUUUGUUUUUGUUCAUUCAAUAUUCUUUUCGGGUGUGUUUUAAAGUUUCUCACAAUCUUUUGAUAUGUAUGUAAGUUGCUCGAUGAAAGGUCCGCAUUGAAACUCUCCUAAUACAGAAGUGGUAGCUAGGUAGACAUCCUGUGUCAUAACGCAUUGACACCAUUUUGAAGAAGAUUAAUACCAAUAUGGAUCCUGACCUUGAAAUUCUGGAACGAGAAACUCGUGCUUUUAUUUCCGAUCCCAGCCCAGGGGUCUGCUGUGAUGGAGUUGGAUAAAUUAGAAAUUAAGAUUUUUUUUAUGAUCCAAAAAAAAAGGAAAACGAAUGGAGCGGCUGGUCUUCGUCUCCACCUUUAGAACAUGAAAUAAAGUAGAUGCUCUGCAAGUAUAUGCUGUGGCGUUGUGGGCUGGAUGGAUAGACAUCGGAAACUAUGAAUCCCACGUCUUGACAAAUGAGAACACUGGACAGAAAAAAAAAAAAACCGAAAUUUCCCGAGUUGGAAAACUCGAGAAAUUCCUAAGAUGGGACAAAAAUUGCAGCUUGUUACAUAGAAUAAAACGCUGGUCUCCUUCAAUGCGAUUUCUCCAUUAACUGCGAAGAAAUUAUUAUACAAGUUCCUUUGGCGAAGAGAGAAUGUCUUCCUGGACAUAUAAAACUGUGCACAAGAAUGGACAUUGUAGCUGUGCCCAAUUCCAUCUCAUCAACAUCUCAGGUCAAGCCGUCUCCUGUAUCUUAAUCAAGGAGCCAAGUUUGCUCUCACAGUGCUUUCAGGAUCUCCUUAAUGGUGCAAGAUAACAGGGUUAGCACUGUCCUCUUUAUUUUUAACUUAUUUUGAACGAAAAAUUUAUUCACAUUUUCCCUUGGCCACUAAAUGUGAAUUGUCAUCAUUUUGGUUGAAGAUUUUAAUUUCUUUUCUCAGUUGGAAUGUAAUUAUACUAACUGUUAUUGACUCUUAUGGCUAGUUAUCAUGGAGGUUAGUGUAACAUCAACUGAACAGAUCAAGAGAAAUGAUGAAGUUUUACUUGAUGUCAAUGAACUAGCAAAGUCUGUGAGAAGCGAUUUGAAAAACUUGCAUUCUUUAUCUGACGAUUGUUGCAUCUCCAGAGUGCCCAAACGACUGCGCCAGUUAAAUGAAAAAUAGUACACCCCUCGGGCAGUCUCAAUUGGGCCCCUUCCCCAUGGCAAAGAGUUAUCCAGAAACAGUUGGCUUGAACAGUGAGGAUUUUGUGAAAAACAUAUUGAUAGAUGCUGCCUUCAUCAUUAUGGUGCUAUUGAAACAAAGUUUGAAAGAAUUUCGAAGUAAGAAAGAUAGAGUAUUCAGUAAACCAUGGAUGAUAGGUGAGGUGCGUUUCGACAUUUUGUUGCUCGAAAAUCAGCUUCCAUUCUUCAUUCUGGAUGAUUUGUUUAAGCUAUCGAAUAAACCUCCUGAGGGUCAUGAACUUUCCAUUAUUAUGCUUACCCAUAACUUCUUUAUUGAUACGUUUGGCUCCUGGGUGGCAAAGCGCAUAUUAGAUAAACAUGAUUUUUCUAAAAUAGAACAUAUGGUCGACUUUCUGAGGAUUUGUCAACAGCCUCCAAAAUUGCAGAACAGAAAGAAACUCAAGAAGUUAACUGUACCCAGUGUUACAGAGCUCCUUCAAGCUGGAGUCAAAUUUGAGUUGGGUUCAAGCAAAAAGUUACUCAACAUAAAAUUCCAAAAUGGUGUUUUGGAAAUUCCGCCAUUACAAAUAGAUGACAAUUCUGAAAUCUUGUUGAGAAAUCUCCAAGCCUUUGAGCAAUGCCUUUGCAACCGGGACAAUUAUGUAAGUGACUAUAUUACUCUGGUCUCAAUGCUUGCCAAGGGUCCUAAAGAUGUGGAAAUACUUGCUCGAAAUGGAAUAAUGGAGAAUUGGCUAGUGAAUAGCGAAGGGGUGUCAACUCUGUUUCAGAAACUUGUACAGGAGAACCUUCUCUUUCCUGAUGACUUCUACUUUUCUUCUCUUGUUGAAGAUCUGAAUUCAUAUUGCAAAAACCCUUGGAACAAGUGGAAGGCAACCUUGAAACAAGAUUAUUUCAAUACUCCAUGGGCAGUUAUCUCUGUGAUUGCAGCUGGGUUUCUACUCAUAUUCACUGUCAUACAAUCCGUCUGUUCCAUCCUUCAACUGAUAUAGUAGGUUCUACUAUUUCAACUUUUUUAUUUCUUUUAUUAAUGUUGGUUCCUUUAUGUCUUGUUAUAGUUCUUUUACAAAAAAAAAAAGGGCUUCAGUACUGGAGUAAGCACAUGCACUGUUAUAGAGAUUCACUUGGUUUUCAAAUAGGAGCAGAUAAAUAAAUAUAGGAGAAGAUAAAUUUAUUUAACUUUGUAUUUAAAAUGGCGUCCACCAAUAUUUUCAGAUUUCUAAAGCUGACAAUUCCUUCUGACAUACCUAUAAAAUACUAAGAAUUACCCUCUUCAUGCAUAGCUUGUCAGUGAUGAAGAUUUGAAGAAUCAGAGGCAUAGAUAUAAAACUUAAAAACUAAAAAAAAAAAAAAAAAAAAAACCAGCCUGACUUGCUUUCCCUAAUUUACUCUUGGCGCGAAUCUGAACAGACACUAAUUUUUAUAUCUGCUUCAACCCAUCAGAAUGGGAUAAUGAAUGUACUCCUAUGGGGACAAGAAAAUAAAUGAAGCACUUUAUUGCCCUAUUAGGAUAUGAAUUGGCUUUCUGUGUCCUCUUCCCAAAAUGGUUAAGCUUGAAUGUUAAAAUAAACAGUAUAAUAUUCAUCUCUGAAGCUCAGUAAUGGAGCCAGAAGAUAAUUCCGAUUUGCUCCCUUUGCUACGAAAAUGAUCGGAUGAUACUCGCUUAUUCCGUUGUUCAUUACAAAGCUGGCUCCCGCAUUAAAUUUAGCGUCUGAUGAUUCUGACUUGCAGCUAAGCUUCAGGCUUGUUCCUGACUUAUAAUCCACACCGCUAAACACAAAGCAAUCCUCUUGGCUUGCUGACUCCAUUGAUAUUGUUCCUUCCUUUCCAUCCAAUCCAGAAACUAAGCGGAACAAGGAUGAUCCAUCGGUACCAUCAGAACUUGCAACUGCAAGGUUGACAUCUUUUCCUUGCUGUACUAAAAACAUUCCUGAUAGACUAAACGGUUCUAGCAUGACAUAUUUUCCAGUAGCAUCUUUAACUGAUGAUGGUUUUGGGGAAGAAGAUUCAUUCAAGACAACUCUAAAAGUGGCAUGAACAGAUUUACUACUGCCAGAUUCAGGGAACUUUUCCAUUGUAAUUGAUUGAUUCGAGUUUGUCAAGACAAAAACUGAAUUUCCAUAUUCUUGGGAAAAAGAUACUAGGUGAUUAUUAUAAGUGGCAGGAAUUGGAGUUAUCCAGUCCGAAAGAGAGUUGACUGAUCUAGAUCGGAUGUCCCAAUCACCACUGCUAUGACCAGCAAGCAGGUAAGGACCAUAAAGUAUUGCCUGAAUAGAAGCAUACUCAGACCGGUCGUCUGAAUAUUUAAUCAAAGGUCAUACAGAUUAUAUAAAAUAUUUAGCAAGAAUUCGCAUAUGUAUGGAAUAAGUUUUACCAUGAAAAUACCUUUGAUAGAUUCUGUUCUUAAACUGAUAGGCAACUGAAGGGUAAUUUUGUCACCACUGCUCCAUUUUCUAGUGAUUGAUAAGAAAUUACCUGCUCAGGCAUAAACUAUCAAAUAUGAAUCCAGGUUUGCUCCAAAACAUGCCAUGGAAAAUAAACUCUCCUAUUAGAGAAAGGUGUAUGGUUUUUAGGAUUUGAUUAUUUAUGUGUUUAGGUACUUUAUUAUUAUGGGAUUCAAAAGGUUUCAUGCACGUUAUUUUGCAUGUUUCGAAGCUUUUCAUAUAUCAAAAAGUUUAGUACAUAUGAAAUUAAUACGUAAUAAUUUAAUUUGUAUUGCAAGUAUAAUAUAAUUAAUCUCAAUGUGAUUGAAC
rnacentral:lncRNA from 1 species